CAUUGAUAUUCGUGUGACAGACACGGCGUUAUAACGUGUGUGGCAUUCUUGUCGCAGGAUUGCUGAAAAAUCAACCAAGCUUCUUUUGAAUCAAAUAAGCUAAAUUAUGACUAGGGUUGUUAAGUUUCAAUAGACACAUUGGAUGAGCAGGUUAUUUGAGUUAGAACCUAACCCGAAGAGAACGAGGGUCAGAAAACUUUCGUAAAUUAGCCGUUGAGGAACCUGUCUACUCCAUUGUUAUUAAGCCGUCAUCCGAGUAACUUUUUAAGUAAUUUUGACAAUGUAUUUUCAUCUGACACAGGAUAUUAACUUAAUAAUCCGAAAUAUAAAUAAUAAUUCGGAAAAAAUAUGCAAAGUGAAGACAUGUAAAUUGAGCGAAUUCCACCGACAUUCAUUGUCCUUUGCCUAAAGGCAAAUUUUGCUUUAUUGUGGCGGAAAAUUCCGAAUAGGGAAAUACGCCAAGAGAAACUUUGCCAAAUUUGGCGUGCAUACCGUUACUCGUAUGCACUCAAUUUCCGGCUAAGCGAGUUGCUGGUUUGCAGACGAACCAAAGAGUAUAAUAGAAAUAUUUUACACCAUUGCGCACAAAUAUGAAAAUGCAAGUCUCAUGAAAGCAACAAUAAUAGAACUGGUCUGUCAAAAGACUUUUAGGAGAAGGCACAAAAUUGUUACGCUCUGAAAAGUAGAAAAAUAUUUUUUUGAGUAUUUCGUAUGCUUGAGCGUAACAAACGAGCGAGACGGAAGUACGCACAGAACAAGGACCAGAGAGCGGGCAGUGGCACACCACAAAAUAUUCUAACUCUUGCAAGCGAGCACAUGAAACAAAACUAAGAUGCAAUAUCCGUUGAAAGCAUUGGAAGUGCGUAACUGACGUAUGCACGUGUGUGUGGGACAUGAACUUAUUUACAUGUACAUCGUUUCUGUCUGAGCGCUCAAAACUAUACAUUGUAAGACAGUAAGUCCCAGUGCACCUAGGUGGAGACGAAGUUGGGAUCAAGGGUUUGACUAACAAAUUUAAUAGUAUGCACAACUUUACGACGUAUGAUGUUAUAUUAUAUUAUGGAACAUCGAUGAGUGGCAAAUUUCUGUUAUAUCCAUUAGCCUAUCGUUUAGAGUGCUACUUAUAUCAGACACCAGCUUAAGACUACUAAACUACUACUCUUGAAUCCCAAACACGAACCCAUUUUCACUGUUUUCUGGAUAUAUCGAUAUAAAACGGUCAAUUGAGCCAGACCGUGCUUUUGCACUCAGUAAAGCUGCUAGCUUCCCAGGAAUUCAAACGAGAUAUGGACUAGUAACGCACACCGUAGCAUCUACGUUUCGGGAAUGCAAUGCAAAGUAGUUGCACUAAAGCCAAAGUCUUUCAUAGGUCUAAAGAAAAGGAUUGCCAAACACUGCGGGAAUUCCAUGGAAGAAUGAAAAAGUUUCCAGGACUAGUGAAUAAGUUACUUUGCGUAGGAUGGGUACAAGAGGAGAGUCUUCAGAAUAACAUAAAGCGGCAUAAGCAUAAAUACCAGCGGAUCUUUUUAAUAAACCCCGAGCGCGCACAAAUCCGAAAUCGAAGAAGAAAACAAGGCAUCGGAAAAUGUAAGACAGCCAAUAGAAAAAGAAACGAAAACUGAAAAAUAAUAAACAACAACACGCACGCAAGAUUUUGUAGCGAAAUUAAAAAAGAAAGCGCUUUUAUUGCCACUAAAGCGCAGAAGUGGAAAAUCCGCAGCAGGCAAAGUGUAAAAAACUUUUCCCAUUACACCGGGACGCUGCGGCAUAACAGAAGAAGAAGACUUUCUCUGCUGCGAGCACAUUCAAUCAUCCCUACUGGUGUCUGUAUGUAUGUAUGUGUGUGUCUAUCGAGUUUUGCGCCAGCAUAGAAUUAACCCAUUACCAUUGGCAGAGUGCCGACGCAAAUUAAGGUGCAGCGAUGCCAACAAAAUACGCCAAUAAUCCGCGCUAUCAGCACUUUGCAGAGUGAAUGCAAGAAAGCAUAUUAAACGUUCCACCUACAAACACCACGACUAGCUGAGUUCACAGUGCGGCCGCAAGCAACAAAAAGUAUACAAGUAUGUAGCCAGCAAAACUACUCAAACUGUAUAUAAAGAGCAACAAUAACAACACGGUCAGCAGUUGUAACGGCAUUAAAAACAUGAAACUACUUCAGCUACUGUGAAAAUACACCGCACACAGCCACAUUCACAUACACACACGGAUAUUCUUCGCUUAAGGAUACGCUGAGCGGCUAAGUUGUCCGUCUGGAGUGGGCUGCUCCGACCCCUGCCGCUCAAUUUGCUGUGCUUGCGUACGCUUGAUUGCUGGAAAAUACGCUGGAGAUUAAUUACACACAAUAAAUAAAAGUUUGAGCAUGGGCCACAGGGAGCGGCAAAGUUAAGUCAGCUCAUUGCAGCCCACGGUGCUAUAUUUACAACUUCUCCCUUUAAUGCUUAAUCCUUUGCGUUGUGUGUUAUUUUAAAAGCACAAAAUUGCGAUUUAGUUGCACUAACAUUUUCUGGCUAUUACACCCGUGUGCAAAUAGUUGCAUGAAGUGUUAUGAUAUUGUGAACGGAAUCGCUAUCUAUAUCAAUAAAAAUAUGUCAAGAUACUGCUACAUAAUUAAGACAAGAAGACAUCGAGAGCAUUUCAUUACUUUAAGAUGCAGAUAAAAUAUAGUUUUAAGUUAACGUCGUCAGUUUUUGAAGCUAGCUCACAUUUAGUGAGACGUUUGCAUGAUGUCUAUACUGUACGAGUACCGAGUUUACCGUGUCAUAUUGUUAUCGAUAUCCGAACUCCGCGAGAAAAAUAUCGAUUAAAUUGUACAAUUUUGUUCAAAUCAAACAUCGUGAAGUAUAUACCUAUACUAUGUUUUUUGAUGAGGAAAUGGCCUCUCCACGAUAUCGGGAUCAUCGGAUAUGCUAUAGAAUGAAAAAAAUAUGAUUUUUUGAGAAAAAUAGACAAUAAGUUUUGAUAAUAACGAAGCUUCACACUUUUUCGGUUUGCAUCUUGUUCCAUGGAUAUAUUAUACUGAGUCCCUGUUCCAUGGGAAAAUAAUUGUCACUUAAUGCCAAAAUGAAAAUAUUACGAAAUGAUCCACUUAUUAUGUAUCGGCAAAUAUUUAUAUGUGCGCAAAGUACAUUGGUAUUGUGUAAUGUUCGAAUACGACCAAACUUACCAUAGCCUUCCAUGCCUUGCGUGUUUUGUGAGCUUUCUUUCUUUUUUGUUUGCUUUGGUAAAAGUUACAUGCUUCCAAAGAGUCAAAGUGCCGAACAAUGUUUGUGUACUUGAAAAAUAGCAACAUCAGCAAAAACAAAAACAACUAGCAAUAACGGCAUUAGAUGUGGCGCUGUACACGAUGCACGACCAAGUCAUUUGCGGUCUGCGCACAGCACUUUAAAAGUAAAAAGUCAUAUGAAAGAGUAAUUUUGCGAUUUUUUGUAUUUCGAUUUGGCUUUGCUGUUGCUGUUUAAUUGGCGAGUUACUAACAAAUAAAGAGGGAAGGAAU